GACGAACGCUGGCGGCGUGCUUAACACAUGCAAGUCGAGCGGUAAGGCCCUUUCGGGGGUACACGAGCGGCGAACGGGUGAGUAACACGUGGGUGACCUGCCCUCAGCUCUGGGAUAAGCCUGGGAAACCGGGUCUAAUACUGGAUAUGACUCCAUGACGCAUGUUGUGGGGUGGAAAGCCUUGUGCGGCUGAGGAUGGGCCCGCGGCCUAUCAGCUUGUUGGUGGGGUGAUGGCCUACCAAGGCGACGACGGGUAGCCGGCCUGAGAGGGCGACCGGCCACACUGGGACUGAGACACGGCCCAG
rnacentral:rRNA from 1 species